AUACAGUCAAAUCGUAUCUGUACCAUGCCUGCCCAUACCUACGUCGUACCCACUCACCAUUUUCUUUCUAUCCACACCUACCCCCGUCCUCUCUCUCCAUUAUCUCAUCUCUCUCUCUGUCUCCAUUAUCUCAAGAUCCAGCCAGACCUUCCUCCUCCAUGGCCGGCCACCCUCCCGAUCUGGAGGUCUCCGACCAGAUUAUUCCCCUCCCCACCACGGCAUGCGGCAUGGAGUCCCGGGAUCGCUCGCCGUCAACCAAUGCUAUGCGGAUUUGGCGAGUCCUAACUCACCAAGAUCCCAUGACGGACAAGGUUUGUUCCGCCUCCUCCUGAAGCUGUCGAGGACCAUGAACGCCACUUCCUCUCACCGGUUCAGCACCAACACAUCCACUACCCGCAGGUAAUCCCCCUGUCCCCCGCUCCAAAUCCAGGACCUGGUCGACUUCCUCUGGUCAAGUCCGCCUCAACGAGUUGGGAUUGCUUCUUCCUAAUUGCCCAUGGAUUUGUAAUACACUUCGAUAAGGAUUUGUUUGUAGGUGUGCAAAAUUGCUUGUUCCCUGAUGGAUAUAGUAGCACAUGGAUCCAUCACCUUUGGUCUUGUCUGGUGUUCUCCGGCCCGUGAUGAAUUUCGAAGGAUGAAACAGAGGCUGGGCGACAGGGAGAUUUAGCUGGAAGAGUGUUGCCUGGUGCCAGAUCCGCCAUGAAGUGAGCUGGCCCUCUCCCUCUCAUGCCGACAUCGGCAUAUUGCCUGCUUCUUCCCCCGGCUUGAUGAACCUACCUUCGCCAACUUGAUGGAUUUUAAUACAGAGAAAACUAGUUCAAUUGAGUUUUAUCUUAAAAAAGGCUAGUCAUCGCCUGAUGGCCAUUGUAUACAUAAAAUAGGCUGCAGUUUAUUUUUCCUGUACUGCUGCAAUAAGGCAACGUUUCAUCACUAUUUAGUUCUAUGCAAUUCCCUUUCUGUUU